rnacentral:lncRNA from 1 species
UCCCUUUCCCCUUUUCUGUUUGGUCGCCUUCUCUUUCCUUUCUCCUUCCUACUCUUGUCAGUUUUUUUAAUCUCUUCUCCCACCAUGAAAUUAAUUUCCUUUAUAUAUUUGGUCAAGUAGAAUCAAGAGGAUCUCCCACUCCCCUUCUCUCACUAUUUUCACUGUCCCAAGCUCCCUUUCCUCUUGUGGUCGUCACGAAUAUAUUUAUAUAGGUAGAUUUAAGAAAAAUAAAUGCGUGUCCCCAUUCUCUCACUUCCUCCAUCUUGUCUCCCAAAUUCCACACAGUUAAAACUUGGGGCCCCCUCCAUCACCAAACACUGAAUAUUGUUUAUUUGAGGUUUGUGCCUCAGUCACAGACACAGCAUUUAACUUUACAUGCAGAAGUUUGCUGGUCUAGCCACUGUAAAUUUUAUUUAACCUUUAGUUGUUUGUUUGUUUGUUUUGGGGGAGUUGCUUGGGGACGAGGUUGGUUUUGUUUACAAUAUAUAUUGUAAACAUAAAAACCUGUCACUGGGGGCUGGAAAGAUGGCUCAGAGGUUAAGAGCACUCACUGCUCUUCCAGAGUACCUGAGUUCAAUUCCCAGCACCCACAUGGCGGCUCACAACUGUCUGCAACUCCAGUUCCAGGGGAUCUGCUACCUUCACACCAAGGCACAUAAAAUAAAGUUUAAAAAAAAAAACCAGAAAACUGUUAAAAAAAAAAACUGUCACUUGAAAAAAACAAAAACAGUAAAUAAAUAUUAGAACUAAUCUCUGCAAUUAAAAAUUGAGUAAACAUUCUAUUAAAAAGAUAAUAAAGCUGUGAAAGCAUAUACAUACAAUAAACAUACAAGCAACUUAAAAAAAAAAAGCUAAUCAAGCAGGGCGUUGGUGGCACACACCUUUAAUCCCAGCACUCUGGAGGCAGAGGCAGGCAGAUCUCUGUGAGUUUGAGGUCAACCUGGUCUCCAGAGCGAGUGCCAGGAUAGGCUUCAAAGCUACACAGAGAAACCUUGUCUCGAAAAACCAAAAGAAAAAAAGCUAAUCAGGUAUAAACUUGCAUGUAUGUGUGUGUACAUGUGUGUGUUUUUAUAUGUGUGUGCGUGAACGUGUGUGUGUGUGUGUGUGUGUGUGUGUGUGUGUGUGUGUAUGUGUGUGUGUAUGUAUGUGUGUCUUAGAGUUUCUAUUGCUGUGAUGAAACACCAUAACCAUAAAGCAAGUUGGUGAGAAAGGGAUUUAUUUGGCUUACACUUCCAUAUUGAAUCCCUUCAUCAUUGAAGGAAGUCAGGACAGGAACUCAAACAGGGCAGAAACCUGGAGGCAGAAGCUAAUGCAAGGGUCUUAGAGGGGUAAUGCUUAUUGGCUUGCUCAACCUGCUUUCUUAUAGAACCCCAGACCACUUUUUCAGAGGUGGCACCACCCACAAUGAACUAGGCCCUCCCUCAUCAAUCAUUAAUUAAGAAAAUGCCCAACCAGCUUACCUGCAGCCUGAUUUUAUGGAGGCAUUUUCUUAAUUGAGGUUCCCUCCUCUCAGAUGACUUUAGCUUGCAUCAAGUUGACAUAAAACAAUCCAGCACAGUCAGCACAGUGUGUGUGUGUGUGUGUGUGUGUGUGUGUGUGUGUGUGUGUGUGUGUGUGUGUGUGUGUUUAUUGAGUUGAAAUAGAGUACAAAAAGUGCUUGAGGCAACCUUAUUUUUCUGCAGUACAGACAUAGAUCCACAUGCUGAGGAAACUCUGGGUGGAAACAGUAACUAACGAUAGUGGGUGCUAAGUAACACUGGUGUUCCUUCUAUAGUACACUCAAACCUACAAGGACUUCUCCUUGUUAAAGUUAUAGAUUUCGAGAUGAGAUCAGAGCACUGACUAGGUCACUCAGCUCUCUCCAGCUUCAUUCUCCACGGGUACUGCAGACUCAUUCUCUCUGGGUCCCUCCUUGCUGAUUGGCAGUUCUCAAGGCUCCUCUAAGCACUGCCCCCUCCUGUCACCACUUAACAGUCAGUGCUAUUCUUGUCAGACCCAUUCCUGCCAGUGAGGCUUCAAGCAUGCUCUCCACUCUAUUUACCCCUUCAAGAACCCCAGGAAGUUCCUGACAUCACAGGCCCACAUAGUCAAGGAACUCCAGCCAACUGCUGUGUGGAUACUGCAUGUUGAUGAUGGUAACAUUUAAAUUGGACACAUUUACAGUAAUUCUCAUCCUCAUGCUGUUUCCAGGCUGCAUUUAGAGCGAGGAGCAUUCCAGUGCAGCUAGAGCGAUAACACAGCCUUUCCCGGAAGGCGGCAGCAUUUUCUCAGUACCUGGGUCUGAGUGUAGUAGACUAUUCCAGUGUAGUACACUAUGUCUCACUCACUAUGCUGGGCCUAGAGGCCCAGUGGGGAAGUGUCUUACAGUGGAUUGAUUUUCUUUUUUCUUUUUUUCCUGAUUGUUUGUCUGAGACAGGGUUCUACUAUGUAGCCCUGGCUGGCCAUGAACUUACUAUGUAGACCAGACUGGACUCAAAUUCACAGAGAUUGACCUGUCUCUGUCUCCCAAAUGCUGGGAUUAAAAAGAGUGCCACCAUAUCUGGCCUAGUAGAUUUGGUUUUCAAUGCCAAAUACGGGGGUGGGGGGGUGGGGGGGCACCACCACACCUGGCUACAUUUAUGAAUUUUAAAAUGUAAAUUAUGUCUAAAAAAUUAUCCAAAAUAUACAAAGAAUAUUCUUGGUGCUAGAGAAUAUAGCACAAAUUAUAACUGGUCUUAAUAAUAAAAACCCAGAGUCGGAUAUUGGGGAGAGCUGAAAGAUCAGAGAAGCAAAGCAGUCAGCCACUAGCUGUUACCUCUACCCUAGACCAAAUGGGUGAUCCUGUCUCCAAGAAUCCUCAGAUUGCACUGAGCUCCUUUCUCCUCCCGUCUUAUAUUCCUCUCCUGUGCUGUAAUUAAAGGGAUGUCAUUCCAAGUGCUGGGAUCAAAGGUGUGAGCUCUGUUUCUCUUUAGGCUGGAUCAAUUUCAUGUUUGCUUCUCAGCACUUGUAUAAGGCUGUUCACAUGUAGCUCCAGCUCCAAGGGAUCUGAUGUCCUCUUCUGGCUUCUGAAGGCACUACACUCAUGUGCACAUAAUCAUACACAUACAUCUUAUCAGACGCCUUAUAGGAGUCCCUCCUUGCUGGUGGAUCACAUCGUGCCGCUGGAGCAGGAGCAGAGGGGAAAAGAG